rnacentral:lncRNA from 1 species
AUUCAGUCUCUAUUGGCAUAAUAAUAAUAAUAAAAAUACCUUGGAAAAACACAUGCAGAUAACUUUGCUCUCAACCAUAGAAUUUUUUUUUAAAUAUAUCCUUUUAUAAUGGGCCUUUAUUUAAUCUUACAGAUGUUUUCUAUUUUCUAAGCAAUCAAAUGUCAAUGUGUCCUGAUGUUUGAAAUAUUAAAAGUAAAGGAAUUAUUAAAGUGAAAUAAAUUGAAAUUGUUCAUUAUAUGACUGGAUAACUGUUCUGUUCAAAAAUACCUCAUCACAUUAAAUUUAAAACACGUCUUUUUUUUGGGGGGGGGGUGGUCUAAUGUGAGGUUUUAAAACGGUCCACAAGCAUGGCUGUGUCUCCAGCAGGCAGUGCUCGGUCAGCUCCUGCAGACCUUGUUCUUCAGGAGAUUGACUCUGAAGAUGAGGCUCAAGAAGAAACAUGUGCAGCAACAAACUCACUGCCAAAUUCACAACCUCAGUCCCAACCACAAACACCUUGGUCACCGGAACAAUCUCUUCCACUGAGUGUCACCACACCUUCACAAGCACACAUAGAACUGGAGGACGCAGAGACCCAAACUGCACGAUGGACACCCUUGAUCGAGAACAUCAGGAGAGAGGCGGAGGACACCGCCAUAUUAAUUAUGGAGGAACGGUGGAUACAGGAGCGUCUGGUGAUGGCUCGAAUGGCAGAAGAGGUGGCACGGCAGACAGCAGAGAUGGCUGUCAGGGAGUUGGCACAGGCCCGGUUUGGUAUUCAAACCAUUGCAGAAGAGCCAGAAGAUGUUGAUCAAGAAUUACAAGUGCUGCACGAAGAGGAAAGUGAUAUAGAAGUCAUACGAAAUCAAAUUGCAGAGUAAGACAUACAUUUUUAUUAUUAUUAUUUUUAUAAUAAAUUCUAUCAACCUGUUCUCAUGCUUUCCUGGUAGUGAACAUGUUUUAUUUGUAAUGUAUCUGUAUUUGUAGGCUAAAUCAUUGUUUUAUAACAAUAUGGCGACACAUAAUUACAGUACACGCAUUUCCGGUGCACUGCUUAAUAUUUCAAUAUUAUGUUGUGUCCUGGCAACCGCAUGGCAUCCCAUAGAGGCUCGCGGUGCUAUGGUUACUAAUCGCGCCUCUGGUGCUUGUUUUCUGCCUCGUCUCUGUGAAGCAUGGCGCAGAUUCCUCACUUCUAAAAGAAACAUUUAUAUCGUUCUAGUUAAUCGCGUCAACAUCAUAUAAAACUUCCAUCACGUUAAUUUAUAAACAAACGGCACAGAAAUGGAUGGAUACGGACACUGCGUUACCUGAUGCUCUCAAACACCGCGUCUGAUUUCAGAGUAAGUUCAUUAUAAUAACACGACGGUAACGCGUAUAACGUAUAGUUUAUCAUAUUUUGGAAAUGUUUAAAAUUAACCAAAACAGGCACGCGUCUGUUGUUGCUCCAUCAUGCGAAAAUUGUGCUUAUGUGAGUUUAUUUACAGCUGACACAGCUUACCCAUGUGAUUAGCUUGUUGUUUAUAUAAAGGCUGCUGUCUGCGUCAUGCCUUGUGUAUACACAGGUGUCAAGUACCUUCAGUUAAGGAGUUUCUUCCUGAAGGACAAGAGGCAGAGGCUGUAGACACUUCGUUCACAGUUCAAACCCCUGUGGAGGAGUUCAAGUCCUCUUCACCUCUACUGGAGGAACCAGGGCCUGAAUCUGAACCUGAGCCAGAGCCUGAGGAGCUUCAAGAGAAGGAGGAGCCCAGGGACUCCGGUGAAGAAGAAGAAGAAGAAGAACCUGAGCCGAUCACUCAGCAACCUCAGUCCAUCACCAGCACCUCUGUCUCAAGAACUGAUUCACAGGUAAUUCAUGUACAGCAUACUGUCCAACUAACUUACCUAAACUCUGACAAGUUCUUCAUGUUAGUGCUCCGGCUUUAACUCUCUUGCAUUGUUUUACUUUUGGGACUUUCGCAGAUAUGUAUUUAUCUUUGUGUAUGUACACCUAGUAUGCUACAUAAAACUCAGAAGUUAGAUUGAAUACAGGACACUAUGCUCAUAAGCACAGUACUGCAGUGAUCAUAAUUGUUCUUGAUAUUAGAGAUUGCAGAUUUUUGCCUCUCUGUGUUACAGUGAAAUAAAUGUAUAUUAU